rnacentral:ncRNA from 14 species
UUAAGUGAUGAUAAAAGUGUGUCUUUAAGGUUUAAACACCUAAUGUUAGCACAAUGAUUUCUCAAUAGACUACAACGGUAUCUGAUU